rnacentral:misc_RNA from 1 species
GGAAGGAUCAUUAACGCAUUCUUCAACAACAAACCUUCAAGGUUUGGGCUGCUGCGUGCAUACUCACGUGUGCACGCGCCUCAAACUUUGUUGUGCACCCCCUUCCCCAUUAUUGAUAUGUAACAUUAUACAUUGCACACACAUAUUGUGUAUCAUGGUCUGCGCGCGCUGCUCACGCAUGUGCGUGCAGCUAUGACACCAACCCAUGUGUGCAAUGCAACACAACACACAACCAAAACCAAACUCAACACAUAUAUAAAAAAACAAAACAAUAAUAUAUAACAAAGAAACAACUCCUAACAACGGAUAUCUUGGUUCUCGCGAGGAUGAAGAACGCAGCGAAAUGCGAUACGUAAUGUGAAUCGCAGGGAUCAGUGAAUCAUCAAAUCUUUGAACGCAUGUUGCGCUCUCGGUACCCCCGGGAGCACGUUCGCUUGAGUGCCGCCAACAUAAUAUAAUAUCAUCAAAUUAUUAUUCUCACUUUUGGUCCUCCCUCCCCUCUGCGCCGCAAGGUCGUUGUGGGGGGCAGUGCCAGAAAGCGGGCCUCACGCAUGCAUACCGUGUGCGUGUGGCCUUAGUGUUCUCUGUGGGUGGUGGCCCGUGUCAAUUUACACGCGUGGCUUUCUCUCCCCUCCCUUUGGCCUCAAUAUCCUUUGUGAGGUGCGAUAGUUCGGGGUUUUCCAGUGGGGGCGCGGUGCCUUGCUGUUGGCGCUCUGGGCGUGUUUGUCUCGUCGUGUGCGGGCGUGAUGCAUGAUGCAUAUUGCAAUUGGCCACAUAUGUGUGCACCAAUGAUGAGUGAGAUGAUUAUCUGUGCGCCAAAUUGGCGCCCAUUUAUUGUCACGCCUGUUGUGGUACAUACGCUAAGUAUGGGGUCGUGCGAUGUGUGGCAUGGGUUACUGCUUGUGGCGUGACUUGAGAUGAACUCCCAGUGGCAAUAUACAAACCAAUAGCAGCGGCCUGUGCCUCAAAAACGCUGGGGGAUUCUCUAUCCACCGCAUGGGGACUGAUCCAGAGAGGGGGCUGAUGAGAUAAUUACAGCCUGCGUGUAAAACGGGUAUUGCCCUCCAUUACAUCACACAACCAACCAAAACAAAAACACAACACACCGGCCUCAAGUCGGGCGACAUUACCCGCCGAAUUUAAGCAUAUUAAUAAGCGGAGGAAAAGAAACCAACAGGGAUUCCCUUAGUAGCGGCGAGCGAAGCGGGAAAAGCCCAAGCUCUGAAUCUGGGUCGCCUGAGAGUCAAAUCAAUAACAAUUGGCACCCCGAAUUGUGGUCUCGCGGCUGGCAUCGUGCGGUCUAUGACUGUGUAGGCAAAAGUCCCUUGGAAAAGGGCGCCAGGGAGGGUGACAGCCCCGUCCUUAGGCCUACUUGCAGUGUAAGGCUAUUUCUACACGUUGUACCAUGCCCCAGAGUCGGGUUGUUUGGGAAUGCAGCCCUAAGCGGGUGGUAAAUCCCACCCAAGGCUAAAUAUCAGCGAGAGACCGAUAGCGAACAAGUACCGUGAGGGAAAGGUGAAAAGGACUUUGAAAAGAGAGUCAAAAGUGCUUGAAAUUGUUAGGAGGGAAGCGAUCGGCGCCGGCCUCCCAUUGCCGCCCCUCCGGGACUGUUCAGUUCUAGCCCGCAAGGGCUAGGAUGCACUCAGUCUUGAGGGUGCGGGCCAGCAUCAGUUCGUCAUCAAGCGGUGGCUGACGGCCCCUGGAUUCUUACUGGGUGGAGGGGACUGCGGCUUCACGGCCGUAUGCCUCCCUUCAUCAGCCGGGGUGACCUGCUUACAUCGCACGGACUGAGGAUAUUGCACCAUGCCUGUGCUUGCUUCGGCAGGCCGGUCAGCUGGGUGUCACCGUGGCGGAUUCACGUGAUGGGUAUCGAGAAACUCGAUCUGCCUGACGUGUUGAGUCUGUCGCUCGAUGGCAUCCAGCCCCAGCAGGCUGGCGAUGCUGGCCAUUCCACCGAGGUGGGGGACAUUCACGUGCCUCUCAUUCUCGUAACGACGCUGAUCGACCCGUCUUGAAACACGGACCAAGGAGUCUAACACGUGCGCGAGUGUCCGGGUGGUCAAACCCUGGCGCGUAGUGAAAGCAGAGUUGUCCGCACUUCGUGUGGCGGACCGUGGUGGGACUGGGCUGCUCUCGGGCAGUCCACGCACCACCAGCCGACCUGGAUUUGUUUUUGAAAGGUUCGAGCCAGAGCGCAUAUGUCAGGACCCGAAAGAUUGUGAACUAUGGGUGACCAGGACGAAGCCAGAGGAAACUCUGGUGGAGGUCCGAAGUGAUACUGACGUGCAAAUCGUUCAUCUGAGUUGCCUAUAGGGGCGAAAGACUAAUCGAACAAUCUAGUAGCUGGUUCCCUC